ACGGGCAGGCGCGGGCCGCCCAUGAGCUGCUCCCCCCUCCCCCCCCGCUCUGUUCCCUUCCAGGGCAGCCGCCGCCGCCGGGGGAGGGGCCACAGCCCUGCGCCUGGGGCUUCCCCUCUCCCGAGUCGCAGCAGCAGCGGCCCAGCGGGGCGCACCCCGGGAGCGGGCGGAGCCGCUGCACGCGCCCCGUGUCUCUCUUCGCAGCCCGGCGGGCAGAUGUUGCCACCCGCUUGAACCGGAACCGUUUUUGCACGGGCAGCCUGGGAGGCUGCGGUGCCGCCGCCGCCGCCGUGUGCGCCGGGGGAGUGGAUCCAGCCCGCGCCUUGGGAGGAGGAGCGCGCCCGCUCCGCCGCUGGCAAUGGGGCCGUGCCCGCCCCAGGCUUAGCCGGCUUGUGCCCUACCUGCCCGGGCAGGAUGAUUUAGCUGCUGCGCCCUCCGCUGGGCUGGACCUGCUCGGGGCACGGCUUCUUGGAUGAGCCGCCGUGGGCACCAGCCGGGGAGUGCGGCUGGAGGGAGCGGCCGCCGCCGCCUCUUCCUCUCCUGCUUGUUGUUUUCUCCGCUGCUGCCCAUGGCUUCUCGCCCCCGCUGGUGACGGGCUCCCCCCGCCCCCCCCCCCCGCAUCCUGCCGCGCCUGGCCCGGCGGCGAAGGAAAAUGGGCAACACCACCUCCUGCUGCGUCUCCUCCAGCCCCAAGCUCCGCAGGAAUGCGCACUCCCGGCUCGAGUCCUACCGCCCGGAGCCCGAGCUGAGCCGCGAGGACACCGGCUGCAACCUGCAGCACAUCAGCGACCGGGAGAACAUAGACGAUUUGAACAUGGAGUUCAACCCAUCGGAUCACCCACGGGCCAGCACAAUAUUCCUCAGUAAAUCUCAAACAGAUGUGAGAGAAAAACGCAAGAGUCUCUAUAUAAACCACCAUCCUCCUGGGCAACUGAGAAGGAAAUACAGUUCCUGCUCCACUAUUUUCCUGGAUGACAGCACAGUCAGUCAACCAAACCUCAAGUAUACAAUUAAAUGUGUAGCUCUUGCAAUAUAUUACCACAUCAAAAACAGGGAUACAGACGGAAGGAUGCUCUUAGAUAUUUUUGAUGAAAACCUUCACCCCCUUUCGAAAUCCGAAGUGCCACCAGACUAUGACAAACACGACCCAGAGCAGAAACAGAUUUACCGCUUUGUUCGGACAUUAUUCAGUGCUGCUCAACUGACUGCUGAAUGUGCCAUUGUCACUCUGGUAUAUCUUGAAAGACUGUUAACUUACGCAGAGAUAGAUAUUUGUCCAGCAAACUGGAAGCGAAUUGUACUGGGUGCAAUUCUACUGGCAUCCAAAGUUUGGGACGACCAGGCAGUGUGGAAUGUGGAUUACUGCCAGAUCCUGAAAGAUAUCACAGUUGAGGACAUGAAUGAGCUGGAGCGCCAGUUUCUAGAGUUGUUGCAGUUCAACAUUAAUGUUCCCUCCAGUGUUUAUGCCAAGUAUUAUUUUGAUUUGCGUUCCCUGGCAGAAGCGAAUAACCUGAGCUUUCCUUUGGAGCCCCUCAGCAGGGAAAGGGCAUAUAAACUUGAGUGCAGGUUCAAAGCAGCUCUAAGGUAGUAUAGCUGGCCAUAAGAACAACCCAGAGUAGGGGACCUCACAGUGAUGUAGACCUGGUGUAAUGGCUCUUAGACUAUGUGCACAUCCUGUGACUGGGAAAAGGGGGACAUGACUGAGGCUUCCCUGCUGCUUGACAGUCCCUGGCUACCAUAAUGGUCCCUUGGAGACAUUGGCCAUCUCUCGCUUGUGUGAAGAUAAGUAUAAAGACUUCAGGAAAUCUACAAAGAAACGGUCAGUUAGUGCUGACAAUCUGACUCUGGUUAGAUGGUCCCCUGCCAUCAUCUCCUAACAAUGGAGUCUGGGAUAUUUCGACAGACGGACUGUUUCAUCCAUCCAAAUUUUUUGGAGUGUAAUGGGGGAAAGACAAGACUUUGGGGUUUUUAUUUUUAGAUCCGUCAAGCUGCCUUUACAGUGCCUCCCCCUUGUGUAGCACAUAAGAAUAAAAAAUUGAGUGGAAAGAGAAAUCAGUACAGUAUACAGGAAAGGAGAUUGGAAGCAACUCUUGGUCACUAUUCCUCACAGCUUUACCCUUUUUGUGAGGAAACAGCUAGUCAAAUGCUUGGAAGACUUAAAAAAAAAAAAAAAAAAAAAAUGGAGUAGCGGCAGAAAGAGAUUAAGGGUCUGUGCCAUUUUUUUAAUAUUCUGUACUCUUCAGCAGAAAUGACGGCAUGAAACCAAACCACGUAAUAAGUUUGGCUGUGCACUGUAGGAAUGGAGUUGAAUUAUUUCAUCUUAAAUUAUUCUCCUUAGUAUCUUUUUUUUUUCCCCUGUUUCUUUGGGUUAUUUUUCCAGCUCUUCUGCACAGCAGCAAAUACAAAGUCUGUAUCUACAGUAGCACAAACCUCUGAAUAAAUAGUAUUGGUGGGUUUUUUCAUUGCACUUUUCUCCGUGAGCUGACUUAUUUGCAUUAUUCUCAUAAUCAUUAUGCAUAUGUUAUGUUUUAUAUUCCUUUUAUUGUACUUAAAAAUAUAACUUGACCAUAGUGCUGAACCAAAAGUUUAUACUGAGAUCAGAUGAUCAUUCGUAAUUUCAUUAUGUAGUUUAUUUAUAGUAUAUGUAGGUGUGUGUGUCUUCCUGGAAUCAUUUAUAUUUCCUUAAUAUAAAGACAGGAUUGUGGAAGGAUUCAAUGAUGAUGAGACUUGGGCCAAAUUGUUGAAAUUUCCAUCAGAUCUUAUAGUCCUUUUUGCAAAUUUUCAUAGCAUUAGAAGUUUAGAAGAAUUCAUUAUAUGAAAGAGAGUUUUUUGUAGGGCCCAGCUAGUUCAUUCCUUCACCUCCAGAUCCAUUGUUGCAAGCAAUAGCCUCAAUUUUUAUAUGUUUACUUUAAAUCGAAGUUAGUUUAUUUGUAUAAAAUAAAAAACUUAAAAAAAAAAAAUUGUUCCAUGAAAAGGUUCAUAGAAGAGCAGAAUGUUAAUGUUUACCAAGGUAUUUGUCACAGGUAGAUUGAAUUGG